CCCCUGCAUGAUUUUUUUUGUUUUGUUUUUUCCCCACUCCCACCCUCCAUCACUUUUCUAAUGGUCUGUCCCUUAUUAAAGCCACAUUGAACUCAAGCUUACGCUUUGUCCACAGGAGAAGGAGGAGGAGGAGGACCUAACCCACCUCCAUCCCCACAGACGCCACAGCCACCUACGCAAACUCCACCGCCUGAUUGUAAAGACGAUUGGAUUGCAUGCAGCAGUAUUAAAGAUUAUUGCUCGUUUCCGUCAUUCAAGUAUCGUUUUUGCAAAAAGACAUGUGGCGGUUGUUAAAUCAGGAUUACCAAAUCCAAGCAAAGCUCCGACUCCGCUGAUUCAUCAUGAUUUGACUGUAUUUCAUUUCGGUAGAUUUAAUAAAGAAAAUACUUAACUUG